CGCAUGAAGGCAUCCUUUGAAUGUAUGGCGGCGUCGUUUGUGUGGAUUAUGCGUCAACAUUUCUGUCCUGGUUAUGGAAACGUUUAUGAUUCAUGCGAUUAUAUGUAGACAAUAAACUAGUGUUUAAAAAAACAAAACAAAUGAGAGAGAUGUUUUUUUAAAGAAGUAGCGCUAGAAUUGAGUGCUGUUACUAUACGGAGCUAAAUAGCUAGCUUAGCUUCCUGCAUUAAGGCCUAAUUGUGAGCUUGGCACGUUUUAGGAAGCAACCUUGGGGAUAGAUAUGAGUGUUUAGUUACAUGUUGUAUCAUUUUGAAUUUAGUCGGUUAAUCUGCUUUGAAAUUAUAUAGUGAGGUUCUGCAAACAUGUUAAAUGACCUGAGCAUUGGAUGAUGAUGAUGAUGAUGACCUGCUAAUUUAGACAUUGAUCUCUGAAGGCUUUAUUCUGAAGGUCCACCUUCCUCUGAGCUGAAGCUUUAUCUCCUAGAACAGCAGCAAACAUGACUGGAAUCCAAUCCAGAGAUGAGUCGGUUGGAGACAGUUCUGAUGAUGAACCUCUGAGUAAAAUGGUGAAACCUGGCAAGAAGUGUCCAGAAGAUGCACGUAAGACUGAAGCAGUCUGAUGCUCUUGUACACUUCGAUCAUGGUUUACUUCGGCCACUUUAAUAAAAAUCCAAAAGUGUGCUAUGUUAUGAUUAUCGCUUGUAAUCAUAUCACUAACCGAACCUGUGUUUUCAGCCUCGGAUAUCAUGGAAGAUGCUUCACCAAAGAAAACCCUUAAAGAGCCCACCUCUGCUGCGGAUGGUAAAAAAAAAAUAAAUAAAAAAUAAAUUUCUCUAAAUUUAAGGAUCAAAUUUGUGCAUACUUUUGAGAUCUACACGCUGCCUCUUAGUUCCAGCAUCCCAGGUUUUCCCAGGGUUUCCUCAGGGUUCUCCAGUUUCCUCCCAGGUCCCACAAAACAGUAGGUGGAUUGGCUGCUCUAAAUGGCCCUUAGGUGUGAAUGAUUGUGAAUAAUAUGUAUACGGACUUCUUUUAUCGCUGUUAACUUCUUUUGCCAUUUAGGCAUAAAUUAUUCCUAACAUAUCUGCUUCAAGUCUGUUCUUUACAAACUGUUCAACUUAUUGAUUUUUUUUGAGUAAAAGUUAAAAUCGUGGGGUGUUAAAAAAAUUGGAUUGUCUUUCAGUGGGACAGAUGGGGAGACGGGCAUGUCUGAGUGGGACAGAUGGGUAGACGGGCGUGUCUGAGUGGGACGGAUGGGUAGACGGGCGCGUCUGAGUGGGACGGAUGGGUAGACGGGCGCGUCUGAGUGGGACAGAUGGGUAGACGGGCGUGUCUGCGUGGGACAGAUGGGUAGACGGGCGCGUCUGCGUGGGACAGAUGGGUAGAUGGGUAGACGGGCGCGUCUGAGUGGGACAGGUGGGUAGACGGGCGCGUCUGAGUGGGACAGGUGGGUAGACGGGCGCGUCUGAGUGGGACAGGUGGGUAGACGGGCGCGUCUGCGUGGGACAGAUGGGUAGACGGGCGCGUCUGCGUGGGACAGAUGGGUAGAUGGGUAGACGGGCGCGUCUGAGUGGGACAG
ensembl:lncRNA